UUAUGACCUUUUGAGCUUUUGAUUUGAUGCAUCGACGACAUGGCUUACGUUCGGAUUGUGUUUUCAAUUUUAAUUUCCGCACUGGUAACCCAGUCUCAACAAGGCGUGUUGCCACAUGCAAAAGCACAUCGCGGGCACAGCAUCGUACGUGUAAACGAACAACCGCUCCAAAUGCAUAACCACGAACACGAUGUAAAUCAAAUGGACGAAAACAUGAUGCUUCGAAAAACCUACCAAAUACUGCUGAAAAACAACCGCCAGAACAAAAUACCAGUGUUGCCAUACUCAAAAUACGACGACGACGGUCGGAUUUAUCUAAGCCAACCAAAAAACGAUGAUGAUAGAAAAAUAAAUAAGUUGAUGAAUAAAAUCGUAACGUACAAUACUGAGGAUGCAAGAAAUGACGUUUUGAGGACGCGACUCAAUGAUCUAUUUUCUUCUGAAGAAAUUGACAUGCUUAUGAAUAUUGUAGAAAGCAUAGGUGGGAAAAAUAGGCCGCCUAAAUCAAACCACAGAUUAAAGAAUAUGUAUAAAGAAUCAGAUGAGGAAGAAGAUAAUACACCGAAUGUUGUUUUUCGUUUCUCAGAUUUAGUUAUGUAGUCUUUAUGAAAGUAAAAUUAUAUUUGUAUU